rnacentral:rRNA from 1 species
AUGGCUGGAUUUAGUUGCCUAAGAAGCCUGACUAGUCUAGAAUUGUCUGAAGUGUAUAUUACAGGGGACGAGUUAGGGUGCCUUCUUUCGUGUUCUUUUGCUUUGGAGGAAUUGGUACUCACGUAUUGCAAAGAGAUAACUUGCCUCAAGAUACCUUGCGUGCUCCAGCGGCUCAGCCAGUUGGUGGUCACUGAUUGUGAAAAUCUGGAGGUUAUAAAGAGCAAAGCUCCUAAUCUCACCGUUUUUGAAUACACUGGUGGCGUAGUAGAAGUGUCAAUUGGAGAUGCGGUGCUAGACAUUAUGAUUUCAGCUUCUGGUUGGAACGUUGUUCAUUAUGCUCGCGCCAAGCUUCCACAGAUGGUCCCAAAUCUUGAAACUCUUGACAUAACCUCAUCUUUGGCGACAGACAUACCGUUUUCACCUGGCAAAUUCCUCCACCUCAAGCACUUGUGUAUUUCUUUCAUGGUAUCAGCAGGGGCUUUUUGCCCGGACUAUGAUUACUUUUCUCUGGUUUCUUUUCUUGAUGCUUGUCCUUCCUUGGAGACCUUGAUGUUGUGUGUAACACAACAGAGUGUAGAGCAUGAUUCAGUUUUAGGUGAUUCCUCACAUCUAAGGCAGAUGCCAGGACACUGCCAUGACAGCAUCAAGGAUGUGAAGAUCAUCGAUUUCUGCUCUGCGAAAAGCAUGGUUGAGCUAACAGUCCAUAUUCUUGAGAACGCGGUUUCACUAGAGCGCCUUACACUGGACACUGUCUGUUAUGAUCUUAGGUGUUCGGAUGGUGCUAGUAAAUGCUCAGUUGGGAAUAUGAAUAUGAUCAUGGAAGCCCAUAAAGCUCUCGUGGUUGUGAGAAGUUACAUCUUAGAGAAAGUUCCCUCUACAGUUGAGUUAAACGUUGUGGAGCCUUGCAGCCAGUGCCAUGCUGUUGAGAAUUAA